rnacentral:misc_RNA from 1 species
UUUCCGUAGGUGAACCUGCGGAAGGAUCAUUAACGAAUAUAUGUCUGUUGUAAGACAUUUUUCUAUUUCAGACACCUGUUAAUUUUAUGAAAUUUUUGCUUUGGCUGAAAUUAAUAUAUAUAUAUAUUUUUUUUUUGGCCAAAAGUUUUUAAUUAAAGCCUUUUUAUUUAUAAACAUUUUGAAUCUGAAGACUGUUUUAUGAAAAAUUUAUUUAAAACUUUCAACAACGGAUCUCUUGGUUCCC